UUUUUUGGAGGUGUUUUAUUUUAUUUAUUUAUUUUCUUUAAUAAAUCAAUGCUAUUGGUCACCUUUUACGUAUGUCUGUCUGUACAAAUAUAUUUAGCCUAAUAAAAGGUACUAAAAAGAGCUUGUGACAAAAUCUUUUUGGAUCCAGUCAAACCUCUUAACUCCGCCCCCUGAGUGCAGCGAACGGAAGUUCCACAGCAGAGCAGCUGAACGUCUUGCAACGUGAGACCUGACAGAACAUUCCAGACUAACAUCACCACAGGCGGACAUUAAACACUCUCUCAGAUGACAAUGACAAAGACUGAAUACAGAGUCUUUGCAUUAAACAAGCAUUCAGCAUCCAUCAUGGGAAAAAAACAGCAAGGAUGCAGCAUUCACCAGUUCCCAUUUAUCUGUGGAAAAAAGUUGGAAAUUCUCAAUAGUUCCAGGAAAACUCUUUACAUUUGCACCAGAGGAGGGGUGUGGGGUCUAUCCCUCCAUCACCCACACACUGCUUUCAUCACAUCCCAGCCCCCUCAGAGGAGUCCCCAUUGGACACAACCAGAUCCUCAGAAGUGGAACGUGUUAAACGUGCAAAUAUUUCAGUUAAAAAGCUCUGACACAAAUUUAACGCCACGUGAUGCAUUUUGUCUGAAAGAAUCCUGUCUGUCGAUCGGUCUUUCUCUCUUUUAGAACUUUCACGUGUGGUGCUUUUUCAUUCGUCCAUUCCUGUGGUCCCUCCCUUGUGCUGUGAUUGGCUGUUGCGGGCAGCUCAGGUGUGCUCUCAUUGGCUCGGUUUAACAUAAGGCUCCAGGUGAAAUAGCAGGGCUCCAGUCAUGCUUAAAGGUGCAAAGACACACACACAUGCACGCACACACACACACACAGAAAAAUGCUAAUUGCACAAAAUCUAAACCAGUAGUAAGUAGAAACUACAUUGGCAAAGACGCAUGUGGAGGAAAGAAAAUUGAUGAAAUAGUCAGAAAGAAGGAAUGGAGUUUGUUCUGUGCGUUCACCAUGCGUCCCCCACCCUCCUGCUGGACCAUGCAGUGAGCUCAGAUGAUGUCAGAGAGAGAGCACAUAUGUUUCUGCUGUUACAGCAACUGUAUGGAGAAAGAAAGGGGGAGGGAGAGAAAAGAAGAAAGGAGAGAGAGGAGAAAAAAAGAGUUAUCAGAGACAGGAGGGGCUGGGCGGAUCUUGUCUGUGAUAAACCACGCCUCUCUUCAAUAAGCCACGCCUGUUUUUAAAAACUCCACUGAAUGUAAAGGGAAGGAAAUUCUCUCUCUUUUUUGUCUUUUCUUUACAGUGUUGGGGAAGAUACUUUGACAAUCUUUCUAACUACAAACUACUUAUAAUUUGAGGUAUAGUUAAAAGUAGUUGAUUGCAUCUGAUAUAGUUUAUUUUUGUACUAUUUAUCUUAUAUAGUGGACAAAAAGUAUUUAAAAAUAAAACAUUUUAAAGAUCCCCUGUGGUGAAAAUCAAGUUUUUAAUGUUGUUUAUAUGUCUAUGUGGUGUUUUAAUGUGCUUUAAGACAACCCUUGUGCAAAUUCAUAAGUCAGCACCAUUGCUGAGUAUGUUCUAUUUAAAACUGUAGUGAUCUAAAGACAAAAAAAUCUGAAAUCGCUG